CUGAUUACAACUGUUUGUCCCACCCUCGCGCUUCACUCUAAUCCUCUUUGAGAUAUUUAUAAACAAUAAAAGCAAAUAACCGUUUCCUUCAUGACUACUCACGUUUCAGAAAGUUUAGUAUUUUGUAAAUGCAUAAAAGUUUUCUGUGUUUUGCCAUGACCAAAGACUUCUUUCUUUAACAAAUAAUUCAUUUUUUAGACAAGUGAAGCCGUGAGGUUGAUGGCGGUCAGGAAGGGCAGCAGCUUUCAGCAGACAGUCCACAUUUAAAAAGCAGUUGUCAGCAACAUAAUCUCACAUGGAUUCAUUUUGGCGUAUAGAAAGGCAUAAUGACAAGUCCGAGGACAUGAACAGCUCCGAGGAGAAUGUCCUGGGUUGUCAUCUGGCAAUUACGGUUUAAUUCCUCACCCUUGUGACCCGCUUCCUUCCCCCCAACGUGAGGUUAACGUAUCCAUGAUGACCGUGAACGCCAGCGUGGUGCUGCGGAUCCGGAGAUCCAGCUCACCUUGUCUCGGGACGUGACUCAAUUAGUCCUUCAUUAGCCUUGCUCUGCAUUUUUUUGUGAUUGCCGAACCAAAUUGCUUUCUUAUGUGCUAUUUUCAUUUCUACUGGCUUGCGGAAAUGUAUCUGAUUUGGUGUCAGGGUUCAGAGAGAAUGCAGCGUGCUCUUUUGCCGAUAAAUCUCGGGUGGGUGCCAGAAUACGCAAGGCAGUUUCGCUCGACUGAAGAUCUGAGAUUCUAAUCUGACUUGAGCUGUUUGUGCAGUGCAAAGUUGCAUAUAAGGGCCAGUCUAAUUCCACACUAACGAUAUUGCAAAAAAAAAAAUUAAAAUACGCACAUUCUAUAGGCAUUUGAGGCUUUUGACAUUUGCAGUCCAUAUGUUUGCAUGUGGAAAAGGCAGUAUGUCCUUUCAUAUACAGGUUUCAUGUUGAUAGGUGCAGGAAAACAGUCACGUCUCCACCCAUGUCAUUUCUAUUUCCACAUCAUGAAAGCCUGAAUGAGGCUCAGCCGCAUUCAUUGGGGCUUUUCCCAUUUAAUUUUGAAGGCCUUCUGUGCAAGUGCAAAAGCGAUCGCUCCUCCAGUACAAGCACAUGUGUAAUGCAUCUCGUGCCCCGGGCCAUGUUUUCUUAGGGUGAUGGUGUCCUUUUAAUUCCCCCUCCUCUUUCCCUCUCUCUGUUUUGAUUUCUACUUAAAGUUUGAUGUCCGUGCCCUCCCUCUGGGGCAACAUUAGCUUGUAUGCUAAUAGGCCUAUGCAUAUUCUAUUAGCACUGUCAGUUCAGGAUGAGGGACAUAUGUGGUAAGAGCCGGUUUGGGGGCGAUAAACCCAGCAAAGGGAUUCUGGCUGCUCCUGCGCCAUCAGUCAUCUUCUUGCUCUGAGUGGCUCUGACUUACAGGCUUUAACAAUCUCUCCAUUUAGAGCUAGAUUUUAACUGCUGCUAUCUCAGUUCACUAGCUGGAUGUGUAUGUGUAAAUCAGUAGGAGAGAUAGGAAACUUAAAUACAAAAUGGAACACAUAUGUUGUAUGUUGCAUUAUAAGUUUAUAGGCAUAUUGGAGAGGGAGAAGGUUUGGUUUAUUAAUGUAAUAAAUUUCUUAGACAGAUGCACUGUACCAGUAAUUCCAGCACUGGGUUAUUUUUAGAGAUGCACCGAUACUAAAUUUCUCAGCUGAUACGGAUAACCGAUUAUUCAGAGUGAUAU